rnacentral:misc_RNA from 1 species
CACCACUCAAGCCUCGCUUGGUAUUGGGCGCCGCGGCCUCGUCCGCGCGCCUCGAAAUCUCCGGCUGAGCCGUCCGUCUCCCCGCGUUGUGAACUUCAUGUUUCGCUGCGGAGCUCGGGCGACUGCGGCCGUUAAAUCUCAUCACA